rnacentral:tRNA from 1 species
GAGGGUAUAGCUGAAGUUGUAAAGCGCAUGCUUAGCAUGCAUGAGGUCCUGGGUUCAAUCCCCAGUACCGCCU